rnacentral:lncRNA from 1 species
GUCAGGUUAGGCAUACAUGCAGAUCUCCUCUAUGCUCCACAGUGAGUGUUUUAGAUCCACGGUGUUUAACGCAGGCAGCACUCUUCGUCUGGAAUGGGCACUGCAAAACCAGUCCCAGCAGUGCAGGUUUCAAGAACACCACAGGCCUGAGAGGGGAGUUGGCAAAUUAAGCAGUCUGGAUAUGAUGUCCCAUAUUCAGCCCACGUAUGAGCAAGUCCCAGCCUGUCCUGGAGACUCUAAACCCCUACACUACACCAUAGGAAAGCCUGGCCAGCAGUUGAGUGAUGUACCCAAGGGCGUCUGGGGUGAUAUCAUACCCAAAAGACUAGGCAUCCCAUUGCUGCCACUCACUGUUGGAAGGGUACUGAGUUUAAGCCCACAGCCUGGGCUGAGCUUCCCGGGUGGGUUACCCUAAAUGAAUGUGUUAUGCUACCACUGCCCACCAGGGCUCUACAUGAGGACUGAGAGGUGGCUCUAGAACUGCUGGGGAUCUGGAGAGUUACACUUAUUCCCUGCACCUGCUGUGUAUCCCAGCUGGUGGAGACUGGAGUUGAGGCAAUGCUGCCACUCUGAUGGUGGUUCCCAGAACCAGGAAGCAGCCCAUAUUAUGUUCCAAAAUUUUUCUAGGAGGCAGGAGGGGACAGUGAUAGGGCAGCCUAGGAAGAAGGGGUGGUAUCUACAGAUUCCUCUGGUGCUGCAGGCUAGGAGGAUGAUGCCGGAGACACUGUGUGCCAGGUGGGAGGCAGUGCAUGGUUCCUAACUGGGAUCGCUAUAAGCAGGGCAGGUUCUCCAUGGAACCCAGGAGGGCUCCCAGAUGAGGGCUGAGGUGUGGUUAGUGGGACAAAGGAUUGGUUCAAAUGGGAGUUGGGGUUGGAGACCUGAGGUGUUGGGGAGCCAGUGGGCUGCCUGUGCUGCCUAGGGCCAUGGACCUUGAGGCAUGGGCAGGAGCUGUCAUUGGAGGCAGGUGCAGUUGGAAAUAUUACUGUCAUAGAAGAGGGAGUAGUGUCCAUGGCCAUGUCCUCAGACAGCACAGUGGAGGGUGAGUCACGUGAGCAGAGGACUUGGCUGUGUGGGUGGGAGAGACUCUUGUAGCAGUUAAGUUCUGGCCAAGGCUAUUGGGGGUGCAGGUGGAAGGGACUUGGAAAGGAAUGAAGAGGAGGAGGAGCAGGAAGAGGAGCAAGAUGAGAAGCUAGUGGUGAGAAGCAAGUGGAGAAGUAAAAGGAGGAGGAGGAAAUGGAGGAGGACCAGGAGGAGGAGGAAGUGGGUCAUUAGGAGGUGGAACAGAUGGAUGAGGAAUAAGAGUGAAGGCACAUGGGGGUUGGGGAUUUCAUUCUGCAGGGCUGUAGGGUUGGAGGAGAAAGAGAACAGGAUAUGAGGUGUGGGAAAGUGAAAAAUGGGAGGUGCUACAGCUCUUCUCAGGUGAGGAGGGGCAUGAAACAAAGUAGGAGUAACUCCUAUAUUGGGACUGGGCCUCAAGGGAGAAUCAGAGUUAGUGGGAUGAAACAGAGGAAGAGAACAAGGGAUUCCCCACUACUUGUGACUUAGUGAGGGGAAGGUGGAUAAACAGAGAGAUUUAGGUGUCCAGCAGGCUGGAAUUGCCAGUAAUUGCUGGCUGGAUAGCUGGGAUGUGGGAGGGGUCUGUGCAUGCAGUCUGCAUGUUAGUAGCCUCACUCUGGGCCUCUGAUGGGCACAAGAAUGGACUGGCAAACUGGUGGUGGAGGCCUCCAGAGCUUCUUUUCCCCCUUCCAAGGCCUCCAUAUCAUCCUCCAACUUCUUUGCACCUGGAAUCUCCAUCAACAGGGUGCG